UCUGCAUGGGGGUUGGUGGAAAGGUUUACUGGUGCGAGAUGGGCCCGCGGCCUAUCAGCUUGUUGGUGGGGUAAUGGCCUACCAAGGCGACGACGGGUAGCCGACCUGAGAGGGUGACCGGCCACACUGGGACUGAGACACGGCCCAGACUCCUACGGGAGGCAGCAGUGGGGAAUAUUGCACAAUGGGCGAAAGCCUGAUGCAGCGACGCCGCGUGGAGGAUGACGGCCUUCGGGUUGUAAACUCCUUUUGACAGGGACGAAGCGCAAGUGACGGUACCUGUAGAAGAAGCACCGGCCAACUACGUGCCAGCAGCCGCGGUAAUACGUAGGGUGCGAGCGUUGUCCGGAAUUACUGGGCGUAAAGAGCUUGUAGGCGGUCCGUCGCGUCGAUUGUGAAAACUUGCAGCUCAACUGCAAGCUUGCAGUCGAUACGGGCGGACUAGAGUACUUCAGGGGAGACUGGAAUUCCUGGUGUAGCGGUGAAAUGCGCAGAUAUCAGGAGGAACACCGGUGGCGAAGGCGGGUCUCUGGGAAGUAACUGACGCUGAGAAGCGAAAGCGUGGGUAGCGAACAGGAUUAGAUACCCUGGUAGUCCACGCCGUAAACGGUGGGUA
rnacentral:rRNA from 1 species